CAUCUGCCAUUUUCGCUAUUGUCCUUGAUUGAUGGCUUCACAAUAGCCUACCUGCAGAACGUCUGAUGAUUCGGCUGUAUAACUCCACGACGUUAAUACUGCCUUGCCUGCCUAGAACAUGGGCUGGCAUAUGCAAAAGUUGGGGGCAUACAUAUUAAUGAUCCCGACUGUUGCGUCACGGUCGGUGUACUGUUGAGAUUCGCCUGUUUGUCGGUGGUCUUUUGCACGAAUUAGAUUUACAUAAGAAGGAGGAAACAAUGGUGUUUGAGGCUCACUGUAUGUCAUUUCCAUGUGCUGAACUCUUAUCAUUCAACUAUGCCAAGGAAAAUUCUAUUUUCAAUUCUAUGGCACCUUUAAAAUUUCUAUCAUGUACUAGAACAGAAAUGCAAUAGACAGACAAAUGGGAGCGUUUAGCGGAAGUUCUACCCGGAAGACUCUAAUGCACGUCAUUGCUCAUUAUCUAACCAAUCAUUACACGUCACCUGAGUAUAUAAGUUCUGUUCCCACCCACUAUCGUGUUCGCAGAUACCAUCGCCGGCGUUCAGUUCGCAGUUGACGUUCCUCACGACGCAUGUACAGGCCUAUAAUUGUGAUUAUCUAAAUAUUCACACAGACAAUGUUAGCGGUAGUCCGAUGUACUACAAUGUGAAAACGUUUAUUUUAGAUGGGAUAUAAUGCUGCAGCGUCAUUUAAGUUCACGUUAGCCUAUCAUUUUGAACGUUCAUUGAAGCGGUCGCACUAUGAGAGUGAUCGUAUUCGCCGUCUCUAAAUUUAAGAAGUGUGCAGGUCCACCCGUGGAUUCUAUUUUCGAAUUUCAUUUCAGCAGUAUCAUAAAAGGGCCUAGCUAUCAUCAAAGCAAUCUUCAAUAUUCUCUCGUCAUCACUACAACAGCCACUUCAUCUCAGUGAUAAGUAUUUCCAUCGUUUUAUGCAUUUUGAUGUCGUUGGGUCUAUAAUCAUACUCUUUUGCUCUUUACAUACAUCAGCAGAGCCGUACAGUGCAGUAGCACGCAUUUGUUUGAGACCGAACGGUGCUCGUUCGCAUUGUUACAUUCAUAGCAUGUCGUAUUGAUCCGCAUGAAAGCGGAGUUGGACUCGUUGUCUAACAGCAGAAAGAACGACACGCUUUGUAACUUGGGUACAUGGUGCAUAGUGUCGAGUGACUUCCCUUCCCAGAUAGCACACAUACAUGUGGCCGACGUCGGCCCCAGAGCGGAACGUCGGCCUCAUAUCUGUAACAUCUAAUAAGGAUCGGCCAGGCAUAGGCACGUAUCUUCAGUCAGAGCUCUAUUUCCAGCUCGUCGGCUUUGGGUCGGAUCACGACUGCAGGCCGAUAUGCCGCGCUUUUCUGUUUGCGCAUGACCAUCUCUGCAACCGACGAGAGAAAUGGUGACUCCGGCAACAUCUGUGGUUUUCAGAAAAAAUGUUCUGUGAUUUCAGGAGUGAACAAAUCAACAACACCGGAGGGGGAAGAGCUGCUGACAGGAGUAACGUUUACUUUAGGAAACUCAGAUGAGAUGUGAUCCCCAGCGUUUGGCACUGAGAUUCUUCAGGACGUGGCCUUGAUGCCAUGAAGAUG